AUCAAGCCCCCAGAGACAGCUGUUGAACUCGUAAAACUCUUAUUCAACCCAUUUAAUUCCUGAUAUCAUUUCUAUUCUGUGUAAACAUGUCCUUUUAU